CCUACGGGUGGCAGCAGUGAGGAAUAUUGGUCAAUGGGCGCGAGCCUGAACCAGCCAAGCCGCGUGAGGGAAGACGGUCCUACGGAUCGUAAACCUCUUUUGUCGGGGAGCAAAAGACGCGACGAGUCGCCUUACGAGGGUACCCGAAGAAAAAGCAUCGGCUAACUCCGUGCCAGCAGCCGCGGUAAUACGGGGGAUGCAAGCGUUAUCCGGAUUUAUUGGGUUUAAAGGGUGCGCAGGCUGUGAAGAUAGUCAGCUGUGAAAUGCCUCCGCUCAAAGGGGUGAAGGGCAACUGAUACUGUUUGGCUGGAGUGCAGAUGAGGAGAGAGGAAUGUGAGGUGUAGCGGUGAAAUGCAUAGAUAU
rnacentral:rRNA from 1 species